AAAAGAAGACAGAGAUGAGCAGACGGACAGAAAAAGAGAAAGCUCCAGCCUAGCAGUUGUCUCUCGGCCUGACUCCAUCUAACAGGCUGUCAUGGUGAGGUGAUCUAAUAGGACAGAAGUGAAGUCCAUACAGUGUAUUAUGGCCUAACUGCUGAACUGGACAACAGCAUACCCAUACAUGCACACAUACAGAAAUACACACAGUCCAAUGGUCCUACUGUAUCUUCUUAUAUUACACUACUGUACAUGAAUUUCUCACAGGAAAUUGAACACCCUCCUCUCUGUCUCACCCUCUUUUAAUUCAAAUCAGUGAAAUUACAUCAGCGGUGUGACUGCUAACCUAAUAUAACAUCUUUAAACCAGUAAACAAAAUGUACUUUUUCAAAAUAAAUAUAUUGACAUUUUC